AUUGAACGCUGGCGGCAGGCCUAACACAUGCAAGUCGAGCGGAGCGGCGGACGGGUGAGUAAUGCCUAGGAAUCUGCCUGGUAGUGGGGGAUAACGUCCGGAAACGGGCGCUAAUACCGAAUACUAUCAGAUGUGCCCAGAUGGGAUUAGCUAGUUGGUGGGGUCACGGCUCACCAAGGCGACGAUCCCUAGCUGGUCUGAGAGGAUGACCAGCCAAACUGGAACGAGGACACGGUCCAGACUCCAACGGGAGGCAGCAUUGGGGAAUAUUGCACAAGGGGCGCAAGCUUGAUGCGGCCAUGCGGCGUGUAUGAAGAAGGCCUUGGGGUUGUAAAGUACUUUCAGCGGGGAGGCGUUACCCGCAGAAGAAGCACCGGCUAACUCCGUGCCAGCAGCCGCGGUAAUAC
rnacentral:rRNA from 1 species